GACGAACGCUGGCGGCGUGCUUAACACAUGCAAGUCGAACGGUGAAGGGGCCUGCUUUUGUGGGCCCUGGAUGAGUGGCGAACGGGUGAGUAACACGUGAGUAACCUGCCCCCUUCUUCUGGAUAACCGCAUGAAAGUGUGGCUAAUACGGGAUAUUCUGGGUCUGUCGCAUGAUGGGUCUGGGAAAGAUUGCGCCUUUGGGUGUUUUUGGUGGGGGAUGGGCUCGCGGCCUAUCAGCUUGUUGGUGGGGUGAUGGCCUACCAAGGCGGUGACGGGUAGCCGGCCUGAGAGGGUGGACGGUCACACUGGGACUGAGACACGGCCCAGACUCCUACGGGAGGCAGCAGUGGGGAAGAUUGCACAAUGGGCGCAAGCCUGAUGCAGCGACGCCGCGUGAGGGAUGGAGGCCUUCGGGUUGUAAACCUCUUUCGCCAGUGAAGCAGGCCUGCUCCGUGUGGGUGGGUUGACGGUAGCUGGAUAAGAAGCGCCGGCUAACUACGUG
rnacentral:rRNA from 1 species